UGGCACGUAGCUCAGUUGGUUAGAGCACCAUCUUGACAUGGUGGGGGUCGGUGGUUCGAAUCCACUCGUGCCAACCA
rnacentral:tRNA from 1 species